AGACCCGAAACCCGGUGAUCUAGCCAUGGGCAGGUUGAAGGUUGGGUAACACUAACUGGAGGACCGAACCGACUAAUGUUGAAAAAUUAGCGGAUGACCUGUGGCUGGGGGUGAAAGGCCAAUCAAACCGGGAGAUAGCUGGUUCUCCCCGAAAGCUAUUUAGGUAGCGCCUCGUGAAUUCAUCUCCGGGGGUAGAGCACUGUUUCGGCUAGGGGGCCAUCCCGGCUUACCAACCCGAUGCAAACUGCGAAUACCGGAGAAUGUUAUCACGGGAGACACACGGCGGGUGCUAACGUCCGUCGUGAAGAGGGAAACAACCCAGACCGCCAGCUAAGGUCCCAAAGUCAUGGUUAAGUGGGAAACGAUGUGGGAAGGCCCAGACAGCCAGGAUGUUGGCUUAGAAGCAGCCAUCAUUUAAAGAAAGCGUAAUAGCUCACUGGUCGAGUCGGCCUGCGCGGAAGAUGUAACGGGGCUAAACCAUGCACCGAAGCUGCGGCAGCGACACUAUGUGUUGUUGGGUAGGGGAGCGUUCUGUAAGCCUGCGAAGGUGGCCUGUGAGGGUUGCUGGAGGUAUCAGAAGUGCGAAUGCUGACAUAAGUAACGAUAAAGCGGGUGAAAAGCCCGCUCGCCGGAAGACCAAGGGUUCCUGUCCAACGUUAAUCGGGGCAGGGUGAGUCGACCCCUAAGGCGAGGCCGAAAGGCGUAGUCGAUGGGAAACGGGUUAAUAUUCCCGUACUUGGUGUUACUGCGAAGGGGGGACGGAGAAGGCUAUGUUGGCCGGGCGACGGUUGUCCCGGUUUAAGCGUGUAGGUGUGUGUUCCAGGUAAAUCCGGUUCACUUUAACACUGAGGCGUGACGACGAGGCACUACGGUGCUGAAGCAACAAAUGCCCUGCUUCCAGGAAAAGCCUCUAAGCAUCAGGUAACACGAAAUCGUACCCCAAACCGACACAGGUGGUCAGGUAGAGAAUACCAAGGCGCUUGAGAGAACUCGGGUGAAGGAACUAGGCAAAAUGGUGCCGUAACUUCGGGAGAAGGCACGCUGACA
rnacentral:rRNA from 1 species